rnacentral:rRNA from 1 species
ACGAACGCUGGCGGCGUGCCUAAUACAUGCAAGUUGAGCGAUGAAGAUUGGUGCUUGCACCAAUUUGAAGAGCAGCGAACGGGUGAGUAACGCGUGGGGAAUCUGCCUUUGAGCGGGGGACAACAUUUGGAAACGAAUGCUAAUACCGCAUAACAACUUUAAACAUAAGUUUUAAGUUUGAAAGAUGCAAUUGCAUCACUCAAAGAUGAUCCCGCGUUGUAUUAGCUAGUUGGUGAGGUAAAGGCUCACCAAGGCGAUGAUACAUAGCCGACCUGAGAGGGUGAUCGGCCACAUUGGGACUGAGACACGGCCCAAACUCCUACGGGAGGCAGCAGUAGGGAAUCUUCGGCAAUGGACGAAAGUCUGACCGAGCAACGCCGCGGGAGUGAAGAAGGUUUUCGGAUCGUAAAACUCUGUUGGUAGAGAAGAACGUUGGUGAGAGUGGAAAGCUCAUCAAGUGACGGUAACUACCCAGAAAGGGACGGCUAACUACGUG